GGGGGCGAAAUGGUUUCGACGGGGGAAGUUAGUGGCAGGAUAAGCGAGCCGGGGUUCCAUCAGCCCGUCAAACGAUGGACAGUUAAAAUAACUGCCAACGAAGAAUACGCACUGGCUGCUUAAUUAAAGCAGCCCAUCCCACCCGCGCCCGCCUGUGGCAAGGGACCGGGGUGUCGACCUAACAGGCUCGCCCUUAUGCCAAUUCUCGGAGGUAUAAGGGGACAUUCAUCGAGAUAGCUCCAGCGGAGCCUGGUUGUGGGCGCCAACGGAGCGAAGCCUAAAACACAACCUACGCUCGUAGAAAGUCCUGUGGCUCUUCUUUCGGACGGUGGGUUCAACUCCCCCCGCCUCCACCA
rnacentral:tmRNA from 1 species